rnacentral:tRNA from 1 species
AGAAAAGGGGCGGAUGUANCCAAGUGGA